GCUAAGGGCGGGCGAGGAGCUGGGGUAAUAAGAAGGGUGCAAGCGUUAAUCGGAAUUACUGGGCGUAAAGGGUGCGUAGGCGGGUCGUGAAGUCUGUCGUGAAAUCCCCGGGCUCAACCUGGGAAUGGCGAUGGAUACUGGCGAGCUAGAGUGUGUCAGAGGAUGGUGGAAUUCCCGGUGUAGCGGUGAAAUGCGUAGAGAUCGGGAGGAACAUCAGUGGCGAAGGCGGCCAUCUGGGACAACACUGACGCUGAAGCACGAAAGCGUGGGGAGCAAACAGGAUUAGAUACCCGUGUAGUC
rnacentral:rRNA from 1 species